AAGCAGAUGAUGAGUACUCGGAUGUCCCUUCAAGACAUCUUGGGUGAUGUAAAAACCGAGUUUGUGAUGCA
rfam:Capsicum annuum cultivar Zunla-1 chromosome 2, whole genome shotgun sequence